GGGCCCUGGGAAAAAUCGGGCCAAAUUUUACAGAAAUAUUGGUGGAAAAUGUGACCCAAGAAAUUCAGCCCAUCCCGCUUUCGUCCGCGUGUGUGACAACCUGGGGGACAGCAACUGUCGGGCAAGACUCGGAAGCCCCACCGAGUGGACCACGUGGGCUUUUACCAGGAGUCUUUCAGUGGCCCUAACCCUCGUUCUGACACACCUGCCGUGCCUAGGCCACCCAUCGCUCGCUCUGCAGCCUGAGUCGCAGUUAACUAAACCGGAUUCUUCCAAGAAAGGAGUUCCGGCCCGGGGUUCCAGGCCUGUUUGCUAUGGAAGAGCAGGCUCCUGGAGCAUCGCCACGGCCCGUUGCCUGGAUGGAGGCAGUUUCCACGCGGCACAUUUGGGUGGAAACGCCUAGAGGGAGAAUCUGCAGAAUCUGGGGGCACCUGACACCGGACGCUUCUCGGGCCCUCCGCAGGUGCGGCCAGGCUUGGGCCCUGACUGUCUCCCAGGUGACCUCCAUCUCUGCCCCACCAGCCCGGCUCUGGACCCUGGCCUGUAGAAGGCCCCUCACCACGCCGACAGGGGCCUGUAAAAUGCAAACCCAGCUGUAUCCACCAACUGCUUCCACCACGCAGGUGAAGCUGCCUUCUGCCCAGGGCCAGGAGCUCACGGGGCGUGGCCCGGCCACCUCGGCAACUUCAUGGAGCACCACCCACCUUCACCCUUCACUGAGCCCCCACAGCCCUGCGCCUCGGGGACCCACCCCGGCUGGGCUCGCUCCAGGCGGGGGCUGGGCUGUCGCUGGCUCCACUGGGCCCCUCACACAUGCUGUUCCCACCUCUGGAACACGGUUCCUGACUACUCCCGUCACCUCACCCCACUCACUUGGAAAGGUGGACGCCCGUCACAGCCCCACCCCGACCUGUGUAGCUCUGUGUGGGGCCCUGGCCGCGCUGUAAGUUCCACAAGCCUCUGUGGACCGCGCGGGUGGCCGUCUCUCCCCAUGCCCAGCACAGUAGCCAGCACAUCCUGGAGGUGCACGCGGUGUGUGCCAGGUGAGCUGAUGUCUACAGAGCUGCCACCUGCCACUCUGCCGUCCGCCUGCAUUACUGGGUUUCUGGGCCGUUCCAUUUAUCCUUCAGAUGAACACAGUCGCUCUCCUCCUUCCUGCUCUUUCUCUGCUCCGAAAGCCCCCUUGCUUCGGUGUCUGGGAUCUGAUGGGUAAAGUCUGAUUUCACACUCA